UACGAAGGGUGCAAGCGUUACUCGGAAUUACUGGGCGUAAAGCGUGCGUAGGUGGUUUGUUAAGUCUGAUGUGAAAGCCCUGGGCUCAACCUGGGAAUUGCAUUGGAUACUGGCAGGCUAGAGUGCGGUAGAGGGUAGUGGAAUUCCCGGUGUAGCAGUGAAAUGCGUAGAGAUCGGGAGGAACACCAGAGGCGAAGGCGGUUACCUGGACAGUAACUGACGCUGAGGAGCGAAAGCGUGGGGAGCGAACAGG
rnacentral:rRNA from 1 species